GGCCCCAGGGUGUUACACAUAAGAUUGCAAAUCUUAAGAGGCAGACUUACCCCUGCUGGGGCUU
rnacentral:tRNA from 1 species